CCAUGGCAUCGUGCAUCCAUCCAUCAAUCUCAUCCUAUGGCCCAGGUAUGUUCAUGUUUAAAGUUAAUGAUUAUGUUUAUGUUAUGAUGCUUUGAUAUGAUUUAGAGAUGUGUUAUUUAAAGAUAUGUAAUGGAUUUGGGCAAAAGCUAAGGGCUUAAAGGGAAUUGCAUGAUAUGAAAGUUUAAAUAUUUGCACGUUUUCUUUAAGCAAAGAAAAAGUAU
rnacentral:lncRNA from 1 species